GGGCGGCUCGGCGGGCGCCGCACGCAUGCGCCCUCCGCCCUCCCCUCGCGCCUUCGCAGACGCCCUCGUUCCCUCCCUCUCCUACUGUCACGGAAUCACAGAAUCACGGAAUCAUUUAGGUUGGAAAAGACCUCUGCGAUCAUCGAGUCCAACCCAUGACCGAAUACCACCGUGUCAACUAGACCAUGGCAUUAAGUGCCGUGUCCAGUCUUUCCUUAGACACCUGCAGGGACGGUGACUCCACCAUCUGCCUGUGCAGCCCAUUCCAAUGUCUAAUCACCGUUUCUGUGAAGAAAUUCUUCCUCAUGUCCAACCUAAAUCUCCCCUGGCACAGCCUGAGGCCAUGUCCUCUUGUCCUGUCACUUGUACACCGACUCCCAGCUCGCUACACCCUCCUUUCAGGCAGUUGUAGACAGUGGUAAGGUCUCCCCUGAGCCUCCUUCAGGCUAAACAACCCCAGCUCCCUCAGCAGCUCCUCACAGGACUUGUGCUCCAGACCCUUCACCAGCUUCGUUGCCCUUCUCUGGACUCACUCCAGCACCUCAAUGUCCUUCCUGAAUUGAGGGGCCCAGAAAUGGACACAGGACUCGAGGUGUGGCACUGCUCGUGUGAGAUGCAAAGGGCUCGUGGAAGCCCCAGGCUGGAAAGAAGAACUGCAAUCCCACAUUGUCUCAUGGAUAGUCACAAGGUCAUACAGACACGUGAGAGAGGACAUUGGAUCAAGUGCCAUGUCUUAAAAGCUUCUUCAGCUGUUUUUCUCACCGUUUUUGAAAUAAAAAUCUCACAAGCAUUCUCAGUAUGUAUUUAUAAUGUAUACAUGUAAUAAUUUGAGAUAUAAUAAACACAUAGUAAUUCAAAGUCAAA